rnacentral:rRNA from 1 species
GUGGGGAAUCUUCCGCAAUGGACGAAAGUCUGACGGAGCAACGCCGCGUGAGUGAUGAAGGUCUUCGGAUUGUAAAGCUCUGUUAAUCGGGACGAAAGAGCCUAGUGUGAAUAAUGCUAGGAAGUGACGGUACCGGAAUAGAAAGCCACGGCUAACUACGUGCCAGCAGCCGCGGUAAUACGUAGGUGGCAAGCGUUGUCCGGAAUUAUUGGGCGUAAAGCGCGCGCAGGCGGAUUUGCCAGUCUGUCUUAAAAGUUCGGGGCUUAACCCCGUGAUGGGAUGGAAACUACAGAUCUAGAGUAUCGGAGAGGAAAGUGGAAUUCCUAGUGUAGCGGUGAAAUGCGUAGAUAUUAGGAAGAACACCAGUGGCGAAGGCGACUUUCUGGACGAAAACUGACGCUGAGGCGCGAAAGCCAGGGGAGCGAACGGGAUUAGAAACCCGUGUAGUCC